rnacentral:rRNA from 1 species
UACGUAGGGUGCGAGUGUUGUCCGGAAUUAUUGGGCGUAAAGGGCUCGUAGGCGGUUUGUCGCGUCGGGAGUGAAAUCCACUGGCUUAACUGGUGGCUUGCUUUCGAUACGGGCAGACUGGAGGUAUGCAGGGGAGAACGGAAUUCCUGGUGUAGCGGUGAAAUGCGCAGAUAUCAGGAGGAACACCGGUGGCGAAGGCGGUUCUCUGGGCAUGUCCUGACGCUGAGGAGCGAAAGCGUGGGGAGCGAACAGG